GAUGUAAAGUUUCUUCAUGAGAGUAGGAAGCACAACGGUGAAGCACAUGCCUUAGCAAAGGCAGCUGCCUCCCUUAGCCCCGGGCGCCAUGUGUGGCUUGGCAUUUUGCCCGAUAUUAUCUGUAUUCCCAUGUGUUUGAACUGUUAAUAAAGGAUGCAGUUGCUCAAAAAAAAAGAAUAACUUUUGUCUCAAAAAGAAUUAACCUUUCUCCUCCAGCCAUUGCCGGCGGCGCCCCCAUCCGCGGCGAAGUCGCCGGUGAAGUUGGUCAUCUGGCCGCAGGGCAUUUCUGUCGCCAUAUCUGGCGCCCAGUACCACGUAUUUCUACCGCGCUCCAUCAGCAGCCGCGCCGCCCCUAAUCGCCGGCCUCUAGCGAGGGGAACCGCGUUGCCGUCUUCGGUUUGAUCCCCCUCAAUCCUCAUCGGUGGAGUAGGGACAAGCAUGGCAGGUCAAGGAUAAGGUUUGAGAUGAACCACAUGAAGCGUCAGGCAGGUCAAUAUAACCUCUAUAUUGCAAUUUACGCGAUGAUUUGGUGCAACGGCAUUGCAUUAUGUGGUGAGCCGAAAACCAAAAGGGAUUAAACAUGGCAUAGCUGAUGUAGUGAUGUCUAUAUGUCUUGCUGAUGUAGUGACGUAGUGAUCUCUGUAUGUCUUGGUAUAGUUGGACAUUUUCAUGGCUUGGGUUCAUGGUUGGCGGGUGGUGCGGAGAAAAAACCAAUCAUCAGGAGGCAUCAUUAUAGUUGACAAGUUUCCUUACCGAUUCUAGUCCUUGCCCUGUGAUUAUUUUGUCACGAAGCUUAUCUUGGUUAUCAAACCAUGGACCGUCAUCCGAGCUCCACCUACUCAGCAUUUCCAACACAACCGUGCGACAGCCGUAAACAUCUGACUUGAAAGAUAUUGUUCCGAAGUUCAGAAAUUAUUAUACUCCAUCCGUCUCCAAAUAAGUGUCGUUGAUAUAGUACAAAGUCGUACUAAUUUUGUACUAAAUCAGCGACACUUAUUUUGGGACGGAGGGAGUAGCAUUUAAAUAUUUUCUGAGCACGACGAGUUAAACAGUUGAAAGCCAUAUUUUCCAUCUUUUGAGGAAGCCGAGCCAUCUUUUUAGACAUAAGAACAGGAUGCAUAUCACUACCUCCUCUGCCCUCUGGUCAUUGUGCAGUUUUUCAUUCAAAAAGCUCUGAAUUUCAGCAGUCCCCACAAAAUGAGUCAUUUUUCUAGACAGAGGUUUCACUAUUGGAGAACUGUGUGCAAAGUCCAUUUUUUUGCCCUCUUCUGGAUUUUUUUCUGUUAUGUCUGUAUGAUGGCCGCUCCAUAUAAAACUGGAGUAUUACAUAGGAACUGUGAAGGAACAAAGAGAGCUUAGAGAUGAUUAAAGGAACUCCCUGCCUUUCCAAACUUAGUGGAUUAUUGUUAGUACAAAAAGCACUUGUUGAUACUAAACAUUUGGUGUUUAUUAGUGUCUCGAAGUCCCAAUUUGCUUUCAUACGGUGCAUCUCUCUGCUUUCUCCACACAUGUGGAAAAUUUCAAGUACAAUUACUAGAAACAGAUUUGCAAUGGGAGAAACUGGACAAAACAAUAAAAUUGACUUAUUCGUCUGUUGUAGAGGCUCAGAAGCUGCUUGGAAUCAGCUCAAGACCAAGACGUCUUUACUGACGAAAAUGUCUUAUUCACAAUGAUGGUUCUGCGGUUCCCGUGCAACAGAGAAGGAUGGCCAGAGCCUUGUUAUCUUGGGUUCUCUGGCCAAUAUGUAAAGAAUGCAAACUAGGCAUCUUAGUAUCUCUGGAGUGCUGAAGCACCAACAUUGACUUCACUGUUGAUCAAACCCUUGAAGUGCCUCCCUUGCUGGUGAAUACGGUUACAGGGCUGGGAUAGUGUUAGGUUUAGAAGAACCUCAUGGGGGAAAGCCCAGGAAAUAUGGAUCAAGAUCGAAGAUCUGUGUGGCACUGUGACCUUAAUCGAUGAAAAUGAUAUUUGUGUGUAGCUACUGGACAGAUCUAGGCAAUUUACAGUUAGGUUAUGAACUUUGCAAGCUAAAUUUUAAUCUGAGUUCCUCCUCCUACUCACAUCUUUGCAAGCUAAGAAUCUGAAUUCUUUGUAUUGAAAAUGUAGCAAAAUCCUUUCACAGUCAGUGGAAGGAAGAAUAAACAUCUCAUCAAUUAUCAACACUUUUUGGUUAUCUGGGAUGUUUAAGAAAGAGCAAAAAUUUAUCAAUGAGUGUACAUUUUACAGUUUUCUUGUAACGGCUUACAAUAGGUUUGAGCUACCUUUUCUCCUUUUGAGGAAAUCAAGCUGUACCUAAUGUCAUAAAAACCAAGUUUGACAUGCUGCAGAACAUAAAGGCACUUGCGGUAACUAACAUAUACCAACUGAUCGGUUUUUGUUAGUUAGUCCCUUGGACUGCCCAUUUACUUCUCUGCUUUAUUGGAGCAAUGAGAAUUUUACAACAUGUUAGUAAUUUUCAAUUUCAACCAUGAUUACUCAAAACAGAUUUGCGCUACAGGUGGAGCUCAAGAGCAAUACACGUGGAGCUCAACGGAAGCAAAUGAGCUCAAAGGAACAUUUUAAAAUUAUUGAACAUUUUUCAGCUGGAAUACAUUAAAAUCAGAGAAACAGCCGAAAUAAAAACAGAGCUGAAGAGCUACACAAAAAAUCUGGGUGCGACAAUCCGUGGGCUGCAUACUUGGCUGGGCUGUCCAUGCCCGCACGAGCCAGGGGCCUUGCUCCUCUUACCCUUCCUCCUCCGACGCUCAAAGAAAAAGAAAAGGGAAACCUUUCUCCUCCAACCAUUGCCGGCGGCGGCCCUAUCCGCGGCCGAGUCGCCGGUGAAGUGGGCCGUCUGGCCGCAGGGCAUUGCCGCGCCAUUCCUUGUGCCCAGUGUCACAUCUUUCUACCGCGCCCCAUCCAGCAGCCGCGCCGCCCCUAGUCGCUGGCCUCCAGAGAGGGGAACCGCGUUGCCGUCUUUGGUCUGAUCCCCUCAAUGGUCGUCGGCUGAGGGAGAAGCAUGGCAGGUCAAGGAUGAGGACGGUGAUGAACCACGCGAACAACAGGCGCAGGCGGUUCAAUAUCUAAUGGAGAAUUUUGGCCAGGCCUAAGAGGAUUACGUGUACACGAAGUUGGGUCGGAUCAUACUUUGGAUGCAUUUGGGUUGUACUGAAGAAGCUUAAUCUUCCAUUAGUUCCAUGCGCUUAACACACAUAUGUUCCUGGUUCCUAGCACAUGUUCAACUAUUGUAGAGUGGUGAGCUACCUCAUGUGACUUUGACUUGGAUGAACCAUGGGAGAAGAAGACGGAGAAGGAUUCAGGUGAAGAACAACUAGCUAAGCUACACGACAAGGAUAGGCUGUAUCUGGAGUGCAGAUAGGGCAUGUGGUUUCUGGAAGCUGCGGUACCUUCGGAGAGGCUUCGUGCAAAACGUUAAGCCCCUGCAAGACACUUUGAUACGGAGAGUCCAUUCUGUAUGAAGGGUACAUAUUGCCCAGUACAUCAGUACAUGUGGUGCCCUCUAGUUCAUACGAGAUCCUGCUUCAGACGAAACAGCUAAAUUCUUGAUACCUUCCAAUCCUACCAAAAGCAUGCAUAGUCCCAAAUACCAAUCAUCUCUAGCUAGUACAACAGAGUUUCACUUGCGAGCUUAUUUAUGUACCUUCAAAGCUUCAAAUGGAAGCCCUUCAUGUAUGCGCCUUUAGUGCGCCCAUUGCCAGUCGUAGUCGCAAGUGGAAUAGAUCGAGUGACUAGAGUCGUCCUUUCUCACCAACCAGCUGAUAACGUUUAUUUAUCGCGUGUCCAGACAUUACGUAAAAUUUAUGUGCAACUGCAUU